rnacentral:rRNA from 1 species
UACGGAGGAUCCAAGCGUUAUCCGGAAUCAUUGGGUUUAAAGGGUCCGUAGGCGGUUUAGUAAGUCAGUGGUGAAAGCCCAUCGCUCAACGGUGGAACGGCCAUUGAUACUGCUAAACUUGAAUUAUUAGGAAGUAACUAGAAUAUGUAGUGUAGCGGUGAAAUGCUUAGAGAUUACAUGGAAUACCAAUUGCGAAGGCAGGUUACUACUAAUGGAUUGACGCUGAUGGACGAAAGCGUGGGGAGCGAACGGG